UACGAAGGGGGCUAGCGUUGUUCGGAAUUACUGGGCGUAAAGCGCACGUAGGCGGAUUGUUAAGUUAGGGGUGAAAUCCCGGGGCUCAACCUGGGAAUUGCAUUCGAGACUGCAUAGCUAGGAUGCGGAAGAGGGAAGCGGAAUUUCCGGUGUAGCGGUGAAAUGCGUAGAUAUCGGAAGGAACACCAGUGGCGAAAGCGGCUUCCUGGUCCAGCAUCGA
rnacentral:rRNA from 1 species